rnacentral:lncRNA from 1 species
CUCUCCCCUCCCCACGUGGAGUGCGUGGAGCAGAAGGGCUGGGGUGGAGCCCCAGGGCUGCUCCUGCUGCUCCAGGUCUCCAGGGCGGAGGGAAACACGCCUUUCCCCCAACCCUCCACGCCCAGCUCCUCUGCUCAGGCACCAGUUAGGAACUCAAGCCUCCCCCAGAAGCUCCUAAAAUCUCCUGGUGCACAAAGAGCCAUUGACAGUUCCCUGGCUCCAGGCAAGGCCGACAGUCUUCCUGACCAGGAGUGUCCACACCCUGUGGCUGGAAUCGGGGAGUGGGACUCUGAUGGUUGAGCUUCAAGCCCACCCUGGUGAACACAUCAGGAUGUGUGGGGACCUCUCCCGAGAAUUGCAGGCAUCCUCACAUCCUGGUUCCUCCCACCCGCCAGGCAUUGAGCAGAAUCUCCAACACCCAAGUCAGUGACCCCAGAAGGCCCAAGGGGCUCUCCACAUUUCUUCUAGCUCAUUCCAUCUUUAGCCACCAGUGCUGGAACCGAGGAGACCUCUUCCUGGGCUUAAUCAUUUCAGCAAUGCAGCGACAGAAUGACCCAGCAAGAGGAAGUGGGGUUGGCAGAGAGCCUUCCGCCUGUGCUGGAGAAGAGAGACGCCUCACCUGCCCCAGAGCGCCACCCACCCUGAGAGACAGCCAGGACAGCAGGCGCUGGGCCCACGGGGCUCCUCUGCGAAGCCCGAGGCGGU